UCAGGCACUCAAUUUGUUCGAUCAUGUAUAAAAUACAUGAUCGGUGACCGAUGUCCUCUCUCUCAUUUUUGUAUUGAAGAUGGCAUAACUAGUCUUAUGUCUCUCAAUAUCAUCGAGAGUGUUGAAAGAUUCAUUCAAUACUUGUAACAUCUUCUUUGAUCGAGCAUCCUCAAACUUGCAGCUAAACUCAUCAUUCAUGGCUAUCUGCAUGAUGCAACGCACCAUGGUAUGGUUGUUGAGCCACUUUUCUUAAGCAUCUCAAACUACACUACAUGCGUUCGGGGCAAGCUCUUCCAAUGAUGGAUUUGUAAGCACGUAUA
rnacentral:lncRNA from 1 species